AUCUAUGGCCAUGCUACCCUGAACAAGCCUGAUCCCAUCUGAUCUCGAAAGUUAAUCAAGGUCGGGCCUGAUUAGUACUUGGAAGGAGAUCACCAAGGAAGAUCAGGUGCUGUAGGCA
rnacentral:rRNA from 1 species